AUGUCCUAAGGGUGAAACUGUUCAAUAAUAGGGAAGAACACUGUCUGUACUCUACUGGUUUUGUAAAUCCAAACUCAACUUUUGUGUAAUUUUGUUAAACUAAACAGGAAGUGGGUGCAUUUGUAAAGUGAAACCAUUUAAUGUGUAAUUUGUAAUUCAUGGUAAUUUAUCGAUGGCAUAGAUCUAAUCAAUCCAAUCUAACAGCUCAUAAACGCUAGCACAUUUUAUUCCUGGGUUACCCGCUAGCUUACCCAUCCUAUAUAUAUAUAUAUAUAAUACUAUUAUAUAAAAGCACGAAGUGGUAAAUCUUUCACUUGACAAUUUUUUCCUUUCUUAUUUAUUCUUCUUUUUCUCCACUCUUUUUAUUUUCUUAAAUUGCUGGUACCCUUUAUAUUUUUAUAAUUUUGUAAUACUUAAAUAAUCUGUAAAUUUAAUUCCUUUAUUGCUAUAAUAUCUCAUGUCCCUUCUCUAUUUCUUCUACUUUCCGUUACGCCCCUCUCUCAUGUUCCUAUCUCCCUUUCUUUCUGAACCUUUCUUUCUAAGUCAGAUUUCUGAGAGAAUUUCUAAAUUCAGAUUGUUCACGAGGAUGGGUGGUUAACAAUUCGAUUACUUGCUGUAGGAUUUUAUCAAUUCAAGCAACAUACAAUUAGUCGAGUAACAUACAAUCAGUUGUUGUGAUUGAACUGUACUUUAUUUUUGUAUGUUGUUGAGGCCAAUGUUGGGAAACAGCGUCUAAGCUAGGGUAAGGUUGUGUACAUUAUGAUGGAAGCCUCAUGCAUUGGGUAUUUUUUCAGGCCAAUUUUGAGGCAAUGAUCAUAAUCAUAAACAAUCUCCUUCAGGUUUGUAGAUUGAUAACCUUUUUUUCCCCCUAUUUUAAGGUAGAAUCAGCGAACCAAACCCCUUCAUGAAGAUAAAUAAGAAUGGAGUGAAAGAAGAAGACGACCCCGAUUUCCCUCGGACAUCUUGGUACGUACAAGGGGACGGUGCUCAAGAACACCUCACACAUUUGUUACCGCAUAUGAUCUGAUGAAGUUUAGACCAAUUUUGUUUUAGGUGUGUUUUUUUCCGUUUUACCUCAUAAGGUAGAUAUACUUUCUUUGUGCAUACCAACUGUUUGAUAAUAUGCCUUGCUUUGCAAUUUUUCUUUCAUGGCUUGAUUUUUUAUUUUAUUUUUUGUAAGAUUCAUGGCUUGAUUAAUGAUUGAUAAAAAAAUGUAUUAUUUCCUUAUUAAGCUCUCCAUAGCUUGCACCAAUAGCCAUGAGUCCAUGACCAUACUUCCUACUCCACAAAGGGCCCAAGCACCAGAUGCCUGAGGGAUUACUACCCUUGCUCAUUCUUCAGUACUCAAUAAAGUAGGGGUUUGUGAAGGGACAAAUGUAGACCCAGCUAGAGGAAGCCCUGGCGAAUCCCAUUUAAAAUGCAUGAAUCUAAAUAGACUCUACCAGUGUGGAAUGUGCAGCCUAUGCUCAUCGGAGACAUUAUGUCAGGUGAACCAACCCAAGACCUGUUCAGGUUUUAGUUACCCAACAAGUCCAUAACCAGCCAAAUCUGUGGAAACUACAAUGUGAAAGGAUCAGUGUUUUUUUUUGUUUGUUUUGUUUUGUUUUUUGUCUUUUUUUUUUUUUUUGUUAGGCCCCAAGGAGAGUGAACUCAUGACCUCUUAAUUUUGAGGUGUUGGUCUUUGCCAACUGAGUGGGUUUGAAAGGAUCAGUGUUAUUCUACUAAAAUUACUAAAAUACAACAAUUUGAUGACUUGGUUAUCAUUUGACGGCAACAAUUUCAGUUUAUGCUACAUCAUCUCCAGCUUGGCCUAUUAGCUGGUAUGUACAACCAACCAGUCCACUUUAUCAAUUCUUUUUGUGGUUUUCCCAUUUUAUGGAAAACUGUUGUUUAUAGAAGCCUAUAUACUGUUCUAAUUUACUUUCCUUGUUUUCAUUCUUUACUAUGACUAUGUUUAUGCAAUCAGAGGCAUAAAGAAAUCAGACGAUCUCAUACUCUCUGGGGUCCUAGAUAUGUGUAAUAGUAAUGGCUUUACUGAGGAAUCAAAAAACCAUUGCAAGCGAUGGAGCAUGAGUUGUCAAUCACUUGUGGUUUUAGGCACAAGCUUCUUGAAAGGAAAACAACACAUGGGCCUUGAAUUACCCUCUCCAAUCAUCUAGACAAAAAUCCUGCAACCAUGUCUGCAAAAGAAGCUCUCUAGGAAGGGGAUGUUGGAUUCGAUACCUGAGUAUGAGACAACUGAGUGCAAGAGGGAUAAUCCAUCUGAACCCGAUUACCAAUUGGGUAGAUUCAUACCCAACAGAGCAGCAAUGGACUUCAGCUUUGCUUGUUACAUGUUUUGAUAGAAGGGAGGAAGGUGAAGGAAACCCCCAUUGUGAGUUCUUCAUCCUAAAAGGCUUUCAGGAAGCUACUUGCAGAAGUUCUGAAUAACAAUAGGACACAGUUUCUGGCUUUCGAAGACAAGCCUUGUUGAGAUGUUUCCUACAAGGCUGUUCAACAAUCAAAAUAUGCAAAGCCUCGUAGACACAUUCCUCAGGUUUUAGUUAGGAUUUCUCUACCAUUUUCAACUCAAGGCGUCUCCUGUGUUGGAAUCUGUAUGGCGUACAAUGGUGGCCGGUCACCCUAGCAGUAAUGAGGGGGAGCCCCAGGUACUUGACAGGAAAGGAACCAAGAGAGAACCAGUUAACUGAAGAUGGGCUUUGGAGGCUUCAGUGACACCCGCAAGGAAGAGGUGGGAUUUAAGGAGAUUGAUGCGAAGGCCAGACAGGUCUUCGAAAAGGUGGAGGGAGGACAUGAUGGUUUUUGUAUUUACUUUUGUUGUUAAUUCGUAUGCUUACCUUAUGUGCAUAUAAACAAGUGAUCAAUUGUUUUUGUAUUUACUUCUAUUGUCAGUUCGUAUGUUUAAUUUAUGCACCUUGUUUUAUUUGGUAAAA